rnacentral:rRNA from 1 species
AUUGAACGCUGGCGGCAUGCCUUACACAUGCAAGUCGAACGGUAACGGGUCCUUUGGGAUGCCGACGAGUGGCGAACGGGUGAGUAAUAUAUCGGAACGUGCCCAGUCGUGGGGGAUAACGUAGCGAAAGUUACGCUAAUACCGCAUACGAUCUAAGGAUGAAAGCGGGGGACCUUCGGGCCUCGCGCGAUUAGAGCGGCCGAUAUCAGAUUAGGUAGUUGGUGGGGUAAAGGCCCACCAAGCCGACGAUCUGUAGCUGGUCUGAGAGGACGACCAGCCACACUGGGACUGAGACACGGCCCAGACUCCUACGGGAGGCAGCAGUGGGGAAUUUUGGACAAUGGGCGCAAGCCUGAUCCAGCAAUGCCGCGUGCAGGAAGAAGGCCUUCGGGUUGUAAACUGCUUUUGUACGGAACGAAAAGGCUCUGGUUAAUACCUGGGGCUCAUGACGGUACCGUAAGAAUAAGCACCGGCUAACUACGUG